ACCACCAACCCCUCGGUGAUGAGUCCGACCGCUUUACCGUUGAGCUAUUGAGGCUCUAAAGAUUGUUUCGGAACAGUUCCACCUACCCUCACAGUAGCCAGUAGUAGUGCAGUAGUGUAGUAGUACAGUAGUACAGUAGUUAGCACAGGUGUGUGUAUUGCAGCGAGCGCCGCUACCGGCCCGCGCCGCGCCGCCCCCUGCGCGCCUCCGCCAGCCCGCUCGCCACCUCUUCCAGAUAUUCGAGGAGGCGUUACUACUACUACUAAUUAAUAUCGUAAUUUUAUGUCCGGAGUGCGCGAAGUGUAUUCCGGCUCGCACCCUCAGCGCAGACACAAGCACCACAGACACCGACACGCGCCCAACGACAACUAGAUGACGUCACGUGACAUCGUGCAUCUAUCUCUAUGCGCCGCUCUAUACUCUAUGGUCUACCCACAUAUAACACUAUCAGGGAUUGUGUAACUUGUGACAUGAGAAAUGUAUCUAUAUUUUAAACCCUCGUUAGCCUAACAUGUGACCCUCGACAUAUCUAUUUCCAUUGUUCGACGAUAUGUAAUUUUGUCUUUACUAGAUAAUGUCGUGUGUCGCAUGUUAGGUCUACUGAUGGUAUAAUAAUUAAUAUGGUAUCGAUAACUUGAAGUUCCUUUAUCUUUUUGAAAUGACAUUAAUACAGAUGACAAAUUAAAUAAACUAAAUGACUUAAACGGAUGAAUAAUCAUCAAUUAGAAAUAAAUUUUUAUAUGACGAAAAUAUGCAUUCAAUUUCGACUAUAAUAACCGAAACAUCCAAUACUCCUGUUAAAGGAAUAACAAAGGAACCGAAUAUAAAACAAUCUUCAUCUUUAAAAAAAAAAAAUUCAUUUACUUGUCUAAUGGUUAAAAAGUAAAAAUUUUUUGGUACGGUAACUGGAUCUAAAGUAAAUUAACCUUUUUAAGGAAAUUUUGCGUUUUUUUAUAGUCAGGAGGUUGAAAUUAAUGAGUUUUUUUUUAUAGAUUGCAUCGUCAUUAUAGUGAAAAUGUUAACUGGUAGUAUAUAUAUGUUUAUUUAUCAUAAUAUAUGUACCAAAAAAGUAAUUCCCUGCAUUCCUGACGGAAGGAUUGACCGUUAUAUCUGGGUACACCUUUAUGUUCAUUAGUUUUGUAGUGAGUACUCCUAUUAAAGUAUUAUAAUUAUGAGCAUAAUAAUUUCAUCUCAUUGUCGUAUGGGUUAGUGUUCAAAGGUCAGCAAAACCUAACCAAAAUUUGAUGUCAUAUUAUUUAUAUAGUAGAUUUUAGUAUGUGAAUCUGUUUCCAUUGUUACUCACUACAUCACUAACAUUUUUUUUCGUCUGUUUUUUUCAUUCAAUUCAUAGAUAGGAUAGGAGUACCCCAGGGGAUCGUUAGGCCGCGGAUUGUCGAAUUUAACGUCUAUUUGUUUGAGAAUUUGACACUCAGCGGGUGAAUGACCCCCUGGGGGUGCCCCUAUAACGUCUAUGAACUCCACUGUAAAUGUUUAUGGGAUGGGACUUACAACUUUUAUCAAUAUUAAAUAAUUGUUGACGGAUGGAUGGAUGGCCCCAAAUAGUAUGAAUAGAUGUGUUAGAACAUAUUUAGGGAAUCCUAAAUAAGAUCUAAUUGUACAAAGAGUUCCAUUACGUAAGCUUUUCAAACGGACAAAUAGUUUGUAAAAUGUAUGCCUUACACAAACCAAUAGCUAAUAGGGUUGUCAAAAUCCCCUGAUCUGCUAGCUCAUAGAACAGACAACGCUAAAAGCUGACGCUUUUAGCAAUAGAAGUAGCAAAGGGGCGUGGCCCGCGUACACCCGGGUG
rnacentral:lncRNA from 1 species